AAACCAAAGCAUCAACUCUAAUUAAUGAAAUCAAGCUCUUCGGUUGGGGAGGACCCAGGCCAGACAGACUCCUUAAGGAAACAUGUUGCCCAAGUGACCCUGUGACACACACAAAGAGUCUUCUGGGCAUCCAACCAAGUCUCCGUGUGUUUUGCCUCUGUGGAUCACCAGGUGUGCUCCUGGUCUCUGAGGAUCUGCCAAGGUUUUGCUUUAGUCAAAGAAUGAAUCUCAUUUAUUAUGGCUGACAGCGAGGGGAGCAUGCAUCAAACAAGAACACAGUAGAGGCAAUCGUCUUUUUCUUCAUAAUGAACAAGAUACAGAUCCUCGAGUCUUGUAGUAAAAGCCAGAAAGAUUGCAUACAUAACAAUAAAGUUGUAUUGCAAUAAAACAUAAAUGCCCAUCGAAAAA